CGGGAGAAGGGGGCUCUUGCUGGGCCAGGCCGUGGUGAUUUCUUGUGGCUGACCCCAGUCACUACUUUAAUUAACGACCUGGACACAGGGAUUAGACUUUAAGCUACUGAAACUCAUCGAAGGCGAUAUUUGAAGACACAGAGUCAUCAGAGCAGUGCUGUAAAUGCAGGUUAAGGGUUGGACCGAUUCCUCAUCUUACACACUCUGAUGGCAAGAAAGAACCAGCUUAGUCUGAAAACUGAAACUGAAGCAACCCGAGAGUCCUGGUGUGCUCUUCGAUCUACUGUUCUUUCCCCACCAUCUGUUAUACUGAGAAAUGGAUCUCGUCCAAAAGGAUCAGAAAAGCUUCUCAUCAUCUGCUGCAUAUAUUCAUGGUGGGCAGCAAAAGGAUCUCUGAAAAAGAGAUAUUUUGCACAGAAAGUCAUCAGGUUUUAUUCCAAGCUACAGAAAAUUGCUCCAAAAUUGUUAAAAUGCAAUUUUAUUAAUCAUACCAUAUGGUUCUUUAUUUAAAUUCUGACUUUAACAGGACCCGACUGGGCAAUCUCCUUUUUCUCACCAACUCUCACUUCUUUCACUUCCCAUCUCUCACAUUGGUUGGAUGUUCUAGUUCUUUUGUCUUCUCAGCUGCCUUCAUGGCUUUCCUACACUCUUGUGUGUCCAUAUUGCUUUUUCUCUUUCCUCACCUUCUCCAAAAAAUAUUUCAGCCUUUGCAACCAUCUUUCACUCCAGCCUAUGUUUACCAUCUGCCACAAACUAUAAAACUGACCCAUGUUUUAUCACUACUUCUACCUCCAACCCCUGACAUUAAAAGAUUUUUUUUUUUUCCCCUCUCCUUUUUUGACUUCAAUCUCUCAAAGCUUACUAUGGUACUACUCACUGAACUCAUUAUGUCCCACCAGAUUUCAUCACCAUCACCCCUCAAAUUUUUUUGCUGGCCACUUCCAUUCUACUUCUCAUCCUCCUUGACCCACAUGCUCAAAAAUGUAUACAAUCCUCUCCAUCUCCAUCUCCUUUACUUUAGUCACCCACUAUUGUAUCACUUUUUACCCCCUCCGUAAAUCAUGUUCUCGUACCCCUUUUCUCUGCCUAGGAAGAAAGAUUCUUACUGGCUUUUUGCUUUCCUACUAGUUUUCUCCCUCUACUCUCUAAACACUCAGCCUCUGCUUCCAAAAACCUGUAGGUUUUUAGAACCUUCCAAGUAAUCCCAAAGAUUGGCUUGCAGGUAGAACACUGCUCAAGUUGCCCUCCAUUACUACUUCAUUCUUUGCAUUCUCUAAUUUGGGCAUGUGCUAAAUAUUUCUAACCAAAAAAAGAUCAAAAUACGAUUUUGCCAGAAGCACAAUACAUGAUCAGUACUGCUGCCUGUGGUCCAAGGCUACUUCAUACAAAAAAUACAGGUGAUUUCCUCCCUUCAUCUCCAGUCUAAUUUCCCCCCUUUGCUAGUCCACUGAAAGCCAUUUUAUUAACAAUCAUUUCCCAGGUAUGUUUACUUAGACUUAAUCGCACCUCAUCUUCCUUCCUAUCAAUUUCCUGGCACUCCCCAGACAGCUCACACCCUCAUUCUCUCCAGGACACCACAGCCUUUCCUGUAAAAUCUGCCUCUGUGAAGAAGACCUUCAGGUUGUUCCUCUGACUUUAACAGCCAAUCAUCUCUUUCAAGUCUCUUGAACAGCUUUUCUAUUCUCUCCUCCCUUAUCUUCAGUCCUAUGAAAACUAAUUUCCAUGCCAUGUGGCCACUUUGAUCUCUCCACUAUAUACUCUCUUCUUGUGCCAGAGUUGCACUAAAAGGUGCAAAGAAAUAGGGCUACAAAUGUAUGCUGGAUUAAUUUUCAAACAAGAUUUUUUAACACAAUAUCCCUUUAAGCUAUGCCCAUACUUAACUCACUUCAAUGCAAAGGGACCUGUAUAGAAGUAGUUUUACCACUGUCAUUAAGCAGACCCUAAUCUACCCCACUCACAUGACAACCAGCUUUAACUUCAGCCCUAGCGUGAUAAGCAGCUUGCACACAGCAAGUGUCCCCUCACAUUUCACAGGAUGAAGAACAGAUGGAAAAAGUCACUGCACGAGCCAAGAUGAGGGAAGCACACAAGCACUACACUGCAGUAGACAUGUACUUCCAGCAAAUCUCUUCUGACACCACAAACUUCAGACAGGUUUGGUUAUCAAAACUCAAACUGUAUUCCAUCAGUAAUAUAUAUAUAACAAAAUUUCUCUCCAGUCUCUUCCAGUUCAAAAGGACACUCAAGUUAUCUACAACACAUCAUAAGCAAAAUAAGAUUUCAUGGACUGAAUGUAGACAAGAAAACUUGGUUUAAUUUAAUGUGCAUAACAUACUGUAAUACACCUCAUCUGACAAAAUAAUGCUUCAUACCUUGUGAAAUUGUCCUUUUUGCAUUAUUUCAGUUUCUCUGGCAACUUCUCUUGGCCAUUCAUGCUCCACUACAUCUAAUUGAUACACUUAUACCUGCAUCUAAAACUGGGGUUUUAUGGUUUUUUGUUGUUUUUUUUUGUUGUUUUUUUAAUGAAGGUCUGUGAAGCAAUUCAGAAAUACAGCUUCUUACUAUCAGAGACAGGGAAGUAAGAGAUACACUGUGACAGAUUCAGGAACAGAAGUGAAGCCUCCCAGUUCCCCAGGGACAUUUUAGGGAGCUAUUCAUAAAAAGAUCUAGUGUUGUCAAGCUUCGAAACAAAUGCUACAAUUCUGAUAUGCUCUAGAGUAGGGCAAAACCAAUGAGAAGUCAACAGAGAAUCUGUCUGGAAAACAUAUGUCCUGGUACAGUGUAAGUCAGCAUGUGUUUCUGGUCAGUUUAAAAAUCAGUGUCCUAGAACAAUAAAUUCAGUUUGUUAUUUUUGAAAA